rnacentral:tRNA from 1 species
GCCGGGGUAGCUCAGCCUGGGAGAGCGCCCGGCUGAAGACCGGGCGGUCCCGGGUUCAAAUCCCGGCCCCGGCACCA